UCCUCAAUAGCUCAGUUGAUAGAGCAACGGACUGUACUCUCUAUAAAAUCGGCGUUUAUCCCUGAUUCAAGUCCAGGUUGAGGAGCCA
rnacentral:tRNA from 1 species